rnacentral:rRNA from 1 species
AACGAACGCUGGCGGCAUGCCUAACACAUGCAAGUCGAACGAGACCUUCGGGUCUAGUGGCGCACGGGUGCGUAACGCGUGGGAACCUGCCCUUAGGUUCGGAAUAACUCCCCGAAAGGGGUGCUAAUACCGGAUAAUGUCUUCGGACCAAAGAUUUAUCGCCUUUGGAUGGGCCCGCGUUGGAUUAGCUAGUUGGUAGGGUAAAAGCCUACCAAGGCGACGAUCCAUAGCUGGUCUGAGAGGAUGAUCAGCCACACUGGGACUGAGACACGGCCCAGACUCCUACGGGAGGCAGCAGUGGGGAAUAUUGGACAAUGGGCGAAAGCUUGAUCCAGCAAUGCCGCGUGAGUGAUGAAGGCCUUAGGGUUGUAAAGCUCUUUUACCCGGGAUGAUAAUGACAGUACCGGGAGAAUAAGCGCCGGCUAACUCCGUG